AGAACUUGUUUCCCCCUCCAAGCAUGUGAGGACAUAUAGAAGGCACCAUCUAGGAGGAACAGGACCUCACCAGACACCUCAUCUGUCAGUGUCUUGACCUUGGACUUCAUUUCCCAGCCGCCAGAACUGAAACCACAACAGAGGUUCCUGCCCACCUGUGCUCCCUUGUACUGCUCCUGACUGAUCCUGCACGCAUGGUGUGGCCCCUCUGCAUGGGAACUCAUCACUCUCUCCUCCUCGGCCUCUGGAGACAGGCAGAGAGCAGACAGACGCAGAGGCGGCCUGUCUGGGAAGUACCGAGGAUGGCCCAACAUGGAAGGACAGGAAGCAUUCCACCUCAGUGCACGGACAAGAAGGCCAGGGCAGCUGGGGACUGCCUGAGAGCUCCCAGGAGGGAAGAGCUGUCCACAGAGUGACUAUGUGAACUGGUUUACCCAGAACAGCACCAGUUUAUGGUUUAUAACAGGCAUUGUCUCAGUGUAAUUAUUAAACUCACCCCAUCUUCUCUCUCGAAAGUGAAUGAUUUGAUAAAUUAUACAAUUGCCCUCCACAUCAGGGAUUUUGCAAAUGGGAGAGUCUGUGUUCAGAGGUUAACAAGCAACAGAGGCUGGUCACUUUGUGCAAACAGGAGCUCAAGGCUCAGCACACACUGCAGAAGGCCUGGCAGCAGGGCCCAGCAGGACAAUUAGCUGUAGGGAGCAGAGCCUGACCUUGGCUCUGGGGGCCUCCUCUCUAAAUGAGGGAUAAUCUGGGCUCGCCAAGGCAGCCUGGGUCAAGUAUACCUCAUCCAAAGCCUCUCUACCAAUUGUGGACUCAAAGACAGCAUUUCUCUUCCCUUGUUGAAGUCUCAACAAGUCCAGCUCAGGGUCAGAGCAGAGAGGAAAAAGGUUACAGUUUGUCCCCAGAUAAGCUAUAAGAUAAGGGGAUCGCCUUACCAUCUCCAUCUCCAUCACCAACACACACGUUGUGCUACGAUCCUGUUCAACACCACCUUGAGUUGCCAUAGGGACUCUGAACAAUCUCCCGUUUGUCUUUUUUCCUUCCUGGUUGAGAUCUUGUUUCUGUCGGGGUGAACUAUUUAUCUGUGCUGCAUGAAAUGUCAUGGGCUGCAGGCAGAACCAGGGCCCACCCACGCCCAAGAAAUAACCCUUUGGUGACACGCACACAAGCUCCCUGAAGCUUUAGAGGCUGCCAGGGAAUGAAUGUCCCUCUCCAUCGCUGAACUUGCUCUCCAGAAGUAUUUAACCCCCAGCAGCCUGAGUUUAUCAGGUCAACUCGUGCUUGGGUCAGUGUGUCACGUGAAUCUGUGGACAUGCCUGACCCUCCACCCGGGGCGGGGAGCA